UACGGAGGGUGCAAGCGUUGUCCGGAAUCACUGGGCGUAAAGGGCGCGUAGGCGGACCUGCAAGUCGGGGGUGAAAGCCCGAGGCUCAACCUCGGAACUGCCUUCGAUACUGCGGGUCUCGAGUCCGGGAGAGGUGAGUGGAAUUCCUAGUGUAGAGGUGAAAUUCGUAGAUAUUAGGAAGAACACCAGUGGCGAAGGCGGCUCACUGGCCCGGUACUGACGCUGAGGCGCGAAAGCGUGGGGAGCAAACAGG
rnacentral:rRNA from 1 species